AUGGAUUGUGUCAGCUGUCAGUUGGCAGCGGGAGAUGUUCUGGUAUUUAUGGAUUUAAGCCUUUUUAACUGGAAUGUGAGGGGAGUGCACAACCCGACUAAGAGGAGGGCAGUAGCCAAAAUGAUUGAUGAGUUUAAGUGUAACAUUAUUUGCUUGCAAGAGACAAAAAUGGAACUGAUGGGCAGGGCCCUUGUGGCUGAAUCUGUUGGUGCCAGAUUUUCAUAUAAUUUUGUUUUCAAGCUUGCGGAUGGCACCCGAGGAGGCAUCUUGAUUGCUGUUUCUGCAAAUUUCUCGAUUGAGCCUUUGCUUUUGGUGCCUGAUGAAUUCACUCUUUAG
rnacentral:rRNA from 1 species